UAUACCACAGGGGGGCCACCUGACCCCUCGGACAUCCACGUCCAUAAGCAGGUGUGUGAGAUCAUCGAGAGCCCCCUCUUUCUGAAGUUGAACCCUAUGACCAAGCACACAGAUGUGAGUAAUACUCCAUGCCUACUCUGUCAUGAUUGUUGCUAUACCUUUUACUGUGUGACACUCCUCUAUUGGGGAAUGCCAGAUGCCACUUAACAGCUGUGACUCUGGCUUAGUCAUUUAAUCUCCAAACUGAAAAGAGGUAAUCCCUACUUCAUUGGUUUCUUGGGAAGAUGAGAGGAAAUGUGUAAAAGCAGCUAGCCCAAAUGUUGGCAUAUAGUGUUCAGGUUUCUCCAUCUCCUUCACAGCUUCCUGUCAGUGUUUUUGAGUCUGUCAUCGAUAUAAUCAAUGGAGAGGUAAUACCCUACCCUUCAACCCUCAGAUCCUGCUCUUGGCCUCUUUCCUGCUUUUGAUUCUCCCUUUGUGGGUUACCUUGCCCUGUAGGCCACAAUGCUGUUUGCUGAGCUGACCUACACUCUGGCCACAGAGGAAGCGGAACGCAUUGGUGUAGACCACGUAGCCCGAAUGACAGCAACAGGCAGUGGAGAGAACUCCACUGUGGCUGAACACCUGAUAGCACAGCACAGCGCCAUCAAGAUGCUGCACAGCCGCGUCAAGCUCAUCUUGGAGUACGUCAAGGCCUCUGAAGCGGGAGAGGUCCCCUUUAAUCAUGAGAUCCUG
rnacentral:sRNA from 1 species